GGGGCUGACCUUGAGAACGCGGGGGCGCAGGCGCACAGUACCGUGGAAUCUCAGUUAAAAAUUCAUGCUGUCCAAGCACCUUCCUCUCUUGGGUCAAUGGAAUGUGGCCUUUAGAAGUUCUUUGCUCUUCACAGACACCAGCUGAAGCCAGAGGAUAUCUACAAAGAGCAGAGGAGCUAAGAAGAAAAUUCAGUAUGGACAUUUCCUACUUACUUAAUACCAAUAUGAACAAAAAGGGCCUUACAACAUUCUCAUAUACAUAUAUAUAUAUACACACACACAUGUUUUAUGAUACUUCCCCCCUUCCAAAUCUGUACCAGUGAACUUACUUUUUUAUUGUGAUGAGGGCUAACCAUAGAGGUAAGUUUGAAAUAAGGACACAGAGCAUCUUUGACCCGGAAAUGUAUCACACAGUUUAACGAUCCUUACGGAAACAUGCUUAUCUUACCCUUCUCCAUGAAAUACCUUUUACCAUAGUGGUUUUGUUGUGAAGUCAGAAGCGGGGAGGAAAUUCAUCUUAGCAGUCAUGGCUGCACAAACUGAAGCAGCUAUGAUGUUCAACCUCUAGCUGGCCCAAGGACCCUGGGAAACAAUUCUGAGCCACCUAGAGAAGUUAGAUUGGUGCUGUUUCAAAAGGAUACAGAGACAAAGUUUAUAUAUUAUGUUGGUUUUUAAUGGGGGGGGGGGGAUAGGGUGACAGGUGAUAGAGAAAUCGUAAGAAAUGAGAGAAGCUACUCUGAGACCAAUAGCCUUGAGGAAUAGUUUGUGAAACUGAGUCUGCUGCUGAUCAACCCAGAACUUCCCCAAGGGUUCUGUUCCUGCUUUAUAGAGACAAGCCUGUUAAUAGACAGGCCCCAGGGCAACUGCUGUAUGGUAAAAAGGGACUCGGAUUGACUGCUCCUGUAUCUGGGGGAAGCCAUUGCUAUCCUUGAGAAAAAAAGAUGGAUAUGGAGAGUGGCUAUCAGCCUGUCAGUGACAUCACAUUCUGUGAAGUCUUGUCUUUCACUUGGGACACAGUGGGUCUUCCAUCUGUCCUAAACCUGGCAGCCUUGUUAAGGAUCAGAAAACAUAUUCUCCUAUAUGACAGUAGGAUAGGAAUUAUCAGUGGGAUAGAAUCCAUUCCUGCCAGAGAAAAAGCAAGAAAAGAAAUCAGUUUUUGCUACCUUAUUACUUUCAGUAGACUGUCAGAUUCUAUAUUCUUUACUUUGUACAUGGCACAUUGAUUAACAAUCCUUGGUUAAAAUCCUUUAGUUUCACAUGGUGUAUAUAUGUUUAUAUUUACAGCUGUAUCAAGUCUUUUUGUCCUAUUAAAAAACAAUAUAUUCUAUUGAUUACCUGUUUUUUUUAUUUACCAUUUUCUAUUAAAUGUAUAGAAGUCUUUGACAAAGAUUCAGAGAAAGAAUUAUGAAAAGGAAAGAGAGGAAAUGUGACGAUAAAGAUUAAAAAAUCUUUUUGGCAAAUUAGUUAUGAUCACAGUAUUUGACAAAAGUCAUGGCCGCUUACCAUUUGGGAUUUGUAAUAACUUAAAAUGUCCUCUCUAUGAACUGAUCUCAGAUACGUAUAAAUAUCAACAGAAUGUUAUUUACAUGAGCACUCGGGCCUGAAACUCUUCCAAUUUUUAAAAUCACUUUUUAAAAGUCUAAACCCUGUCUAACAAAAUGUGUUGAUUAGUUUUCCCUCUAAAAGAAUUCAAACUCUUUUCUCUUUCCUUUACUGAAUAUGAUAUGACUUAUUUUGUGAUUUAUAUUGCUUUACAAUUAGUCUGUAACUAUGUGGAAAGCUGAGUUUUGUUUUCUUAGGUAAAUUGUACUUAAAAUUCUUUAUCAGCCAUCGUAGGAACAAUCAUGUACCUUGAUUUAUUGGUCAUGUUCUGCCAUAUAUGGAACAUUUUGCAAUUAUUCUAAAAAGCUACUUGUGGAAAAUGGUUGUCUUUUAAGUAGGAUCAGAGUAUGGGACCUUCAUGAUGUGCUUAAUGUCCUUGUCAGAAAGAAAAGAACUUGCUUCCCUGUUGUUUAUUCUGCACCAUGGAGAACUUAAUCACAACUCAUUUGCCAAAAGCAAAGGGGUCCAUUUUCACCUCCACCAGUGAUACAUAUGAGAACUAAUUUUGUGGUUUAAAUCGCCCAGUUUACGGUAUUUUGUUAUAGUAUCCAAAGUAAAGAAUGCAAAAUUGUGUUCAGUGUAAUUGCUUUGACCUGAAUAAAAAGCCCUACACUCACAGAAAAAGAUAAUUGAGAAUGUAUUCAUUACCAUUCAGCAUUCAUUUUCUAAACUGUUCUAAGGUAAGGACAUUUUUGAAACAAUUAUUAAGAAAAAAAAUGUUCAUCAAUAAAACUUCUUAAAGCCU
rnacentral:lncRNA from 1 species